UACGUAGGGUGCAAGCGUUGCCUCGGAAUUAUUGGGCGUAAAGAGCUCGUAGGCGGUCUGUUGCGUCGGCUGUGAAAACCCGGGGCUCAACCCCGGGCCUGCAGCCGAUACGGGCAGACUAGAGUUCGGCAGGGGAGACUGGAAUUCCUGGUGUAGCGGUGAAAUGCGCAGAUAUCAGGAGGAACACCGGUGGCGAAGGCGGGUCUCUGGGCCUUACCUGACGCUCAGGCGCGAAAGCUAGGGGAGCGAACAGG
rnacentral:rRNA from 1 species